UCGGGAAUUUUGGGCAAUGGGCGAAAGCCUGACCCAGCAACGCCGCGUGAAGGAUGAAGUAUUUCGGUAUGUAAACCUCGUAAGAAUAGGAAGAAUAAAUGACGGUACUAUUUGUAAGGUCCGGCUAACUACGUGCCAGCAGCCGCGGUAAUACGUAGGGACCAAGCGUUGUUCGGAUUUACUGGGCGUAAAGGGCGCGUAGGCGGCGUGGUAAGUCAUCUGUGAAAUCUCCGAGCUUAACUCGGAACGGUCAGAUGAUACUGCUGUGCUAGAGUACAGAAAGGGCAAUCGGAAUUCUUGGUGUAGCGGUGAAAUGCGUAGAUAUCAAGAGGAACACCUGAGGCGAAGGCGGGUUGCUAGGCUGAUACUGACGCUGAGGCGCGAAAGCUAGGGUAGCAAACGGGAUUAGAUACCCUUGUAGUCCCUGAGCGGGCUGGCAAGGCGCAU
rnacentral:rRNA from 1 species